CUCUGUUUUGCAUGUGGAUCCAUUCGAGAAGACCCAUCCCCUGCUCGGAACGAGGGCAGCAGUGAUGAACUGAUGAUCAUGAUGCAUGCACCGCCGUUGCCCAUAAAGCAGAGAGAUCAUUCCGGAUAAGGAUCUGAAGAAACGGACAGUCAGAAGAGGGUGCCCGGGGUCUGUCCCCGUGUGUAUCACAAUACACGGCUAUUCGACUAUUCCUCUCUGAACGGCGGCUGUUCUGUUUGCAUCUCGAGAGAGAGAGAGAGAGAGAGAGAGGAAGGAGAAGAGAAGAGAACCACGCACGCUGUUGCUCCAAGUCCCGGACCCGAGUGACGCUCUGUUUUCCCUCGACGCGACGCAGAUGCCCGGCGGCCAAGCACGCCGCAUCCGAGCCCAGACAAUCACCGGAGACGAAAGAGAAAAAGCAGGUGGAGAGGGAGGGGAGGGGAUCCAUUCCAUGGUUGGUUGGGAGCACCGCCCGGGGCUUCAGUCGUCAUCUGCCAGAUAUCAGUCAGUCUGUGUGCUGCUGCAGAAGAAAAUGAAACUGAGAAUUCUGCCUUAGUAGUGGGGGCGGUUCCACAUCGGACGGAUCAAUGUCACCCAUCAGUCGAGCUAUAUCAUCCAAUGAUAUUGGUAUGCUGCAUUUUCAUUCAUUUGGGCAUUAGAUGAGUCAUAACUGUUGCAGAUUCAGUUAUGUUAUCUACUGCAUGCUUAUUCACUUCUUAGUACUGAACCACUGAUUAUUACCUUGAGUCGUCAUCUAGCAAGAAAGAACUAUUUGGAGUAGUUAUUGAGUCGUCUGUUGUCAUCGUUCUCAUCUUUCCAAUCACCUGAAAUAAAGUUGUCUCUUGUUAAGAUGUUCUCUUUAGCAACACAUAGAUGCAUUUCACGCAUUCAGGCAGGUGAAUGCACUUGGAAUUGUGUGUAUGUCUAAUCAUGUGAAGUUAGCAGACACGCACAUACCUCUUGAGAUA